rnacentral:rRNA from 1 species
UACGUAGGGUGCAAGCGUUGUCCGGAAUUAUUGGGCGUAAAGAGCUCGUAGGCGGCUUGUCGCGUCGUCCGUGAAACUACGGGCGGCACACCUCGCUUGCGGUCGAUACGGGCAGGCUCGAGUUCGGUAGGGGAGACUGGAAUUCCUGGUGUAGCGGUGAAAUGCGCAGAUAUCAGGAGGAACACCGGUGGCGAAGGCGGGUCUCUGGGCCGAUACUGACGCUGAGGAGCGAAAGCGUGGGGAGCGAACAGG